GAUGAACGCUAGCGGGAGGCCUAACACAUGCAAGCCGAGCGGUAUUGUUUCUUCGGAAAUGAGAGAGCGGCGUACGGGUGCGGAACACGUGUGCAACCUGCCUUUAUCUAGAGGAUAGCCUUUCGAAAGGAAGAUUAAUACUCUAUAAUAUAUUAAUUGGCAUCAAUUGAUAUUGAAAACUCCGGCGGAUAGAGAUGGGCACGCGCAAGAUAGCUAGUUGGUGAGGUAACGGCUCACCAAGGCAAUGAUCUUUAGGGGGCCUGAGAGGGUGAUCCCCCACACUGGUACUGAGACACGGACCAGACUCCUACGGGAGGCAGCAGUGAGGAAUAUUGGUCAAUGGGUGCAAGCCUGAACCAGCCAUCCCGCGUGAAGGACGACUGCCCUAUGGGUUGUAAACUUCUUUUGUAUAGGGAUAAACCUACCCUCGUGAGGGUAGCUGAAGGUACUAUACGAAUAAGCACCGGCUAACUCCGUGCCAGCAGCCGCGGUAAUACGGAGGGUGCAAGCGUUAUCCGGAUUUAUUGGGUUUAAAGGGUCCGUAGGCGGACUUAUAAGUCAGUGGUGAAAGCCUGUCGCUUAACGAUAGAACUGCCAUUGAUACUGUAAGUCUUGAGUAUAUUUGAGGUAGCUGGAAUAAGUAGUGUAGCGGUGAAAUGCAUAGAUAUUACUUAGAACACCAAUUGCGAAGGCAGGUUACCAAGAUAUAACUGACGCUGAGGGACGAAAGCGUGGGGAGCGAACAGGAUUAGAUACCCUGGUAGUCCACGCCGUAAACGAUGCUAACUCGUUUUUGGGCUUUAGGGUUCAGAGACCAAGCGAAAGUGAUAAGUUAGCCACCUGGGGAGUACGCUCGCAAGAGUGAGACUCAAAGGAAUUGACGGGGGCCCGCACAAGCGGUGGAUUAUGUGGUUUAAUUCGAUGAUACGCGAGGAACCUUACCAAGACUUAAAUGGGAAUUGACAGCUUUAGAAAUAGAGCUUUCUUCGGACAAUUUUCAAGGUGCUGCAUGGUUGUCGUCAGCUCGUGCCGUGAGGUGUUAGGUUAAGUCCUGCAACGAGCGCAACCCCUGUCACUAGUUGCCAUCAUUCAGUUGGGGACUCUAGUGAGACUGCCUACGCAAGUAGAGAGGAAGGUGGGGAUGACGUCAAAUCAUCACGGCCCUUACGUCUUGGGCCACACACGUAAUACAAUGGCCGGUACAGAGGGCAGCUACACAGCGAUGUGAUGCAAAUCUCGAAAGCCGGUCUCAGUUCGGAUUGGAGUCUGCAACUCGACUCUAUGAAGCUGGAAUCGCUAGUAAUCGCGCAUCAGCCAUGGCGCGGUGAAUACGUUCCCGGGCCU
rnacentral:rRNA from 1 species